UUGAAUUCAAACUGAACUUUCAAUGUCAGUUAUAAUAAUUGCAAGUUUAAGUUGCAUUGCUUUAUGUAACCAAAACUCGUGUUCAUGACCCAGUUGUUCAACAACCCUGGGACAGUUUUUGUAUCAUAUUACAAAAACUGUUGUCUUGUGUUGAGAAUUAAAGUUAGAUGCAAGAGAAGCGGGCAGCCCUUAUCUGCUCCUGGGGGAACAAAAGGGAUAGGAUGCCUUGCUCAGAGGCACCCCACACUCAAAGAAAUGAAACCCAGGUGCUGCAUUAAAUCGGGGGUGUAGUGGCACAGUGGUUAAGAACGGUACCCUGUCCGAGAAAGACCUCAUGGUCGCAAGUUCGACUCCACCCCUGGCUGAUUGUACUCAAUUCCAUUGUAAGUCGGUUUGGAUGAAAGUGUCUGCUAUAUGACACUAUGUAAUGUAAAGUAGUUAUUUCAACUGAAAUUGAAUAAUUGUGUGUUUUGGAUUCAAAUGAAGAAUGUCAAAGAGCAUGUACUCAACUUCAUUGUUUGUUGUAAUCAACAAACAAUAAUGAGUGUAAUUUAUGUAAGCAAGUUAAUUAAGAUGUACAUCAGGCCUAGGAGGGCGUUUCCCACUGGUACUUGCACAUGCUCAGUAAGAACAAGGCUGAAGGUGCCAUUUUCUGGACUUACUCUGCUGUCCUGCCACAUGUCUCGGAUUUCUUCAUAAUUCACGGCCAUCCAUCAAUAUCCAGGUAAGUUAAUGACUAAAUCAAAAAUGACAAACUAAAAUAUGCUUGUUUGAUACCAGUUGAUGAGUAUUUUUGACUUUGGACUGAUGGUAUAGGCUAUGGUAAGAUGAAAAAUAUAAAUAUUUUGCUAGCUUGACUCCUUUUUAGCUUUCCACUUUUGCUCAUCUAAAAUUAGUGAUUUGGUUAACCAUUAUUUUGUUGUUUGUAUAGCCUUUUAAUCAUUAACGUUUUACCUUAUUGUCAUUUGCAUUUGUGUAGGUUUUGUACAUUCUUAAAAAGCUGUGAAUUUCAGAUUUGCUGAGCGUGUUGGUUGACGGAUGCCAGGCCAGCAGCUUGGCUUUUAAGAUCUGACAGGUGUUCUCAUAUUUAAGAACUUUACAAAUGAAUGACCAAUAAUCUCUUUUCAUGUUUUUCUUUAGGUUAUGAAUGUGGGAGAUGCAGAAGCAAUGUGCUGAUACUCUAUCUACAAGGAUCUUGAUCCUGGUGCAAAGAGAGAAAUGGAGGAAAUGAUGAUUGGAGUAAGAUGGCUGUUCUCAGGUCUUUGGUGGGUUUUUGGGACUGUGUGCUUUCUCUCGCCGAUCCCAGGAUUACUGGAGAAAAGCAGUGGAAAAAGAGACACUAUGAAUUUGCUUCAUGGUGGAUGUUGAGUCAUGAUGAAGAUGCAGGAACAUGGUGAACAUUACUGUAGCUGCCGUCUCAUGUUCAAAGCAUUGUCUUGGACGUGCUGUGCUGUUUAAAAAAAGCAGGACUAUACUGGAGCGCUGAAGAUAAAAUGCCCCCGACUACACGUGUAAA